AUCCAGUUGACCAGUCCAAAGUAGGACGAAACGCGCAUCCUGGAU
rnacentral:hammerhead_ribozyme from 1 species